rnacentral:lncRNA from 1 species
GAAUUAAACCAAACAUAGAAUGAAUGUUCCUUAUGGAGUGCUGACCAAGUGUUGUUACUUUGUAGCUGAUCCAUUAUCCAAGAUGGCCGCCAGCGGGGGACUUAGUUUAACAUAGGACCCUAUUGGAAAUGCAUACAAAUCACUUCUUCUAGUGAACCACUGAAUGGAAUGAAACCAAACAUGGCAUGAAUGUUCCUUAUGUGGUGCUGACCAAGUGUUGUUACUUUGUAGCCGAUCCAUCAUCCAAGAUGGCCGCCAGCGUGGGACUUAGUUUAACAUAGGACCCUAUGGGAAAUGCAUACAAAUGACUUCUUUUAGAGAACCACUGAAUGGAAUGAAAUCAAACAUGGCAUGAAUGUUCCUAAUGUGGUGCUGACCAAGUGUUGUUACUUUGUAGUCGAUCCAUUAUCCAAGAUUGCCGCCAGCGGGGGACUUAGUUUAACAUAGGACCCUAUGGGAAAUGCAUACAAAUGACUUCUUUUAGAGAACCACUGAAUGGAAUAAAACCAAACAUUGCAUGAAUGUUCCUUAUGAGGUGCUGACCAAGUGUUGUUACUUUGUAGCCGAUCCAUCAUCCAAGAUGACCGCCAGCAGGGGACUUAGUUUAACAUAGGACCCUAUGGGAAAUGCAUACAAAUAACUUCUUUUAGAGAACCACUGAAUGGAAUUAAACCAAACAUGGCAUGAAUGUUCCUUAUGAGGUGCUGACCAAGUGUUGUUACUUUGUAGCCGAUCCGUCAUCCAAGAUGGCCGCCAGUGGGGGACUUUUGAAUGAAAUUAAACAUGUUCCUUUCCUUAUAAAUGAGGUUGUGUUGUCACUUUUAGCCAAAUUUUAUAUUUUUUUAUAUGAUUUCAAAAACCCAAGUAGAAUCAGGUGAGCGAUACAGGCUCUUGAGAGCCUCUAGUUAUUUAUGAA